GCGGUAUUGGUGAAGUGGUUAACACGGCUGACUGUGACUCAGUUAUGCAUCGGUUCGAAUCCGAUAUACCGCCCCA
rnacentral:tRNA from 1 species